UUCCCCUCCUACUCACUUGUUCUCGGGGUAAACAGAAACACUGAGUUCCUCUUAGCCGAGAACUGUGGCCGCCCAUCCGGUGAAAACAGAGUAUGUGGGAGCGGCGGGGAGCGCAUGAGGAUCAGGGCGACCGCUAAAGCGUAGGAGAAUAACCAGCUACUAUACUUCUGUUCUCCCUUAUGCAAACAUGGUCCCAAGACUGCUGGUCUGCCAGCAUGGUUGAGCAGCAGCUGUUGCAAACUCCAGAGUCUAAAGUGCACUGUAAAAAACAGAUGGCCAGAUCCGCCUUCCUUGCCGGCGAAAUGUUCACUGACCAGGGAGAAACAACCACAUGGAAAAUUAAAUAAACCCAUGACAUUCAUAUCUAGCAGCUCGGAUGUUUUGUAGAGUUUCCCCUGAGAAGUGGGGACUAUGUGCAUGAGUCACGUUUUUCUUUUUAGAGUCUUAUCUAUUUGUGAAUAAAUGUUUCCAAUUAAAACAUU